AAUGAACGCUGGCGGCGCGCCUAAUACAUGCAAGUCGAGCGAGAAGACGUAGUAAUACGUUUGUAAAGCGGCGAACGGGUGAGGAAUACAUGGGUAACCUACCCUCGAGUGGGGAAUAACUAGCCGAAAGGUUAGCUAAUACCGCGUACGCUCCUUGGACUUCGGUUCAGGGAGGAAAGCGAUACCGUGGGUAUCGCGCUCUUGGUUGGGCUCAUGUCCUAUCAGCUUGUUGGUGAGGAACGGCUCACCAAGGCUUCGACGGGUAGCUGGUCUGAGAGGACGAUCAGCCACACUGGCACUGCGACACGGGCCAGACUCCUACGGGAGGCAGCAGUAAGGAAUAUUGCGCAAUGGGCGAAAGCCUGACGCAGCGACGCCGC
rnacentral:rRNA from 1 species